GACGAACGCUGGCGGCGCGCUUAACACAUGCAAGUCGAGCGAGAACCAGUCCCUUCGGGGGCUGGGGACAGCGGCGAACGGGUGAGUAACACGUGGGUAAUCUGCCCUCGGCACCGGAAUAGCCCGGGGAAACCCGGAUUAAUGCCGGAUGGCCUCUCGAGCUCUCGAGCUCGCGAGAAAAGGUAGCUUCGGCCUCCGGCCGAGGAUGAGCCCGCGGCCGAUUAGCUUGUUGGUGGGGUAAUGGCUCACCAAGGCGACGAUCGGUAGCUGGUCUGAGAGGACGAUCAGCCACACUGGGACUGAGACACGGCCCAGACGCCUACGGGAGGCAGCAGUGGGGAAUCUUGCGCAAUGGGCGAAAGCCUGACGCAGCGACGCCGUGUGCGGGAAGAAGGCCUUCGGGUUGUAAACCGCUUUCAGGAGGGACGAAGCCACUCAGGUUAAUAGCCGAGAGGGUGACGGUACCUCCAGAAGAAGCCCCGGCUAACUACGUGCCAGCCGCCGCCGUAA
rnacentral:rRNA from 1 species